rnacentral:rRNA from 1 species
CCUACGGGAGACAGCAGUGGGGAAUAUUGGGCAAUGGAGGAAACUCUGACCCAGCAAUGCCGCGUGAAUGAAGAAGGUCUUCGGAUUGUAAAGUCCUUUAGUCCGGGAAGCAUAAAAUGACGGUACCUGAAGAAUAAGCUCCGGCUAACUACGUGACAGCAGCAGUGGUAAUACGGAGGGAGCAAGCGUUGUUCGGGAUGACCGGGCGUAAAGGGUGCGUAGGCGGGUAUACAAGUGAGAAGUGAAAUACCCAGGGCUUAACUCCGGUGCUGCUUCUAAAACUGGAAGACUGGAGUGCAGUAGAGGUAAGUGGAAUUCCUAGUGUAGCGGUGGAAUGCAUAGAUAUUAGGAAGAACCCCGAAUGCGAAGGCAGCUAACUGGACAGCAACUGACGCUGAGGCACGAAAGUGUGGGUAGCGAACAGGAUUAGAUACCCGUGUAGUC